UACAGAGGUCUCAAGCGUUGUUCGGAUUCAUUGGGCGUAAAGGGUGCGUAGGUGGCGCUGUAAGUCGGGUGUGAAAUUUCGGAGCUUAACUCCGAAACUGCAUUCGAUACUGCGGUGCUUGAGGACUGGAGAGGAGACUGGAAUUUACGGUGUAGCGGUGAAAUGCGUAGAUAUCGUAAGGAAGACCAGUGGCGAAGGCGGGUCUCUGGACAGUUCCGUGACGUGAGGCACGAAGGUCAGGGGAGCAAACGGG
rnacentral:rRNA from 1 species